GGACAGGUACUCAAGUGGUUGAAGAGGCAUGCUUGGAAAGCUUGUAGGACGCUAACGUGUCGCGAAGGUUCAAAUCCUUUCCUGUCCGCCA
rnacentral:tRNA from 1 species